rnacentral:rRNA from 1 species
AUUGAACGCUGGCGGCAUGCUUUACACAUGCAAGUCGAGCGGCAGCGCGGGCUUCGGCCUGGCGGCGAGUGGCGAACGGGUGAGUAAUGCAUCGGAACGUGCCCAGUAGUGGGGGAUAGCCCGGCGAAAGCCGGAUUAAUACCGCAUACGACCUGAGGGUGAAAGCGGGGGACCGAAAGGCCUCGCGCUAUUGGAGCGGCCGAUGUCGGAUUAGCUAGUUGGUGGGGGAAAGGCUUACCAAGGCGACGAUCCGUAGCUGGUCUGAGAGGACGACCAGCCACACUGGGACUUAGACACGGCCCAGACUCCUACGGGAGGCAGCAGUGGGGAAUUUUGGACAAUGGGGGCAACCCUGAUCCAGCCAUGCCGCGUGCGGGAAGAAGGCCUUCGGGUUGUAAACCGCUUUUGUUCGGGAAGAAAUCCUCUGGGCUAAUACCCCGGGGGGAUGACGGUACCGGAAGAAUAAGCACCGGCUAACUACGUG